rnacentral:rRNA from 1 species
AGCGGAGACUGUCGCUGGCUUUCGGGCAUGUGCACGUCUAGCUUUCUCGUCGACCUUUCUCUUACUCUCACACCUGUGCACCCAUUGUAGGUCCCUCGAAAGAGGAUCUAUGUUUUCAUCCUCACACAACAAUGUAUGUCUAGAAUGUAUCAUGAUCGUCGACCGACUUUGCGGUCGGGCGGCGGUCAAACAAAUAAAUACAACUUUCAGCAACGGAUCUCUUGGCUCUCGCAUCGAUGAAGAACGCAGCGAAUUGCGAUAAGUAAUGUGAAUUGCAGAUUUUCAGUGAAUCAUCGAAUCUUUGAACGCACCUUGCGCUCCUUGGUAUUCCGAGGAGCAUGCCUGUUUGAGUGUCAUUGAAUUCUCAACCAUGUCUUGAUUGAUUUCGAGGCAUGGCUUGGACUUGGGGGUUUGCUGGCGGCGAAAGUCGUCGGCUCUCCUGAAAUGCAUUAGCGAUGGACAGCAAGUCUGACAUGCCCCGCCCUGGACGUGAUAAUAUUGUUGGUCGCGGGAGUGUUGGACGAGCCCCCAGUUCUGUUGGCUUCCAUUCCCUGGACUGGGAACUGGAGACUUUCGAGAAAAGUUCAGUUCUUAUUGGGGGUCGCGAGCCCGGACGACCCCGGGCGGCCUUCGGAGGUCGAAGGUUCCUCGUCUU